GACUGUCUCCCGGCGGCGACGGUUAUCACGGAUGGACCAAGCCUAACUACGGGAGAGAAAAAGGAAGAGAACCUUAUCUCUUCGGCUGUUUUCGCAUCAGCCCUUGUGGUUUUUCAUAAUCACGAAUGAGUUUCUGCAAUUUUUCCCACAAUCACGAUUGAGUUUCAAAUUCAAGAAUUAUGUGGCUGCUAAUGCUUAACAUGUUGAUUUGCGAUUGAGAAUUUUAUUCUUUCGCAAAACAAUCUCAUUGCGAUCAAGAUUAAUUUUCUCUCGCAAAAUAUUAAUUCACCUCGCUGAAUUAUCUUGCAACUUGCUACAAGAUCAUCU
rnacentral:lncRNA from 1 species